GAAAAGUGCCUUCGACGCAAUGUCACUCAGCGUAUUCAAGGACGUUGGGCGGACUCGAUAGCAAGAGAUUUCGGAGGCGAAAUUUCUGUGAAAGAGGCAGUUAGUGCUUAAUUAAGCCUAGAGUCCUU